CAGGCUGUGGCGCAGCUUGGUUAGCGAGUCGGUCUGGGGACCGAAGGUCGGAAGUUCAAAUCUUCUCAGCCCGACCA
rnacentral:tRNA from 1 species